ACCUCUUUUACGAAAAGUGGUCUCUUUUUAUUCCUUAAAUAUUAAAAACAAAUAAACAAUUUAAUUUUUAAAAAAUUACAUAAGAAACCUCAUCAAUAAACCGGUUUCUUUCAUUUGUUUUUUUUGUUUAUUUUUUCAUUUAAGUGAAAAGAAAAACCUACGAGUAACAAUUUGGAAUGCGUUUAUUUGGGUGUUCUCUGCGAUUUUUUUUUAGAACCGUGUCUUCCUCACCCUAGCUUCCCCUCUUCUCAUUUUCUCUCUCUUGGGGUUUAAAUGUCGACGUUUAAGGGGGUUUCCUUUCCUCUAUCUUUCGAUCGGUGUUACGGUGACUGAUCACUCUCUGUCACUUUCUCUCUUAGUACUACAGUGGAGUACCUACUACUUAUUCUCAAGCAAAGACUGACGAGUCAAGGAACAUAUGGGUUACAUAUGUGUCCGAGCAUAAAGAACUAGAUGAAGAGUCUGAAAAUGGUAUGGAUUAUGAAGAUGAUGAUAUGGCGUAGGUGAUUUUAUGACUUCAUUUAAUUUUAGAAUUUUGUAUUUCUUUACGAAGAAGAUUAUAGGACAACUAAUUUUAGAUAUUAACAUUUUUUGUAAUAUUUAUUUGGGAUUAAUGAAAGAUGUGUAUUAUUUUGGUAUUAUAAGUAUGUUACACUUGUGUAAAA